UACGUAGGUGGCAAGCGUCAUCCGGAUUUAUUGGGCGUAAAGGGAACGCAGGCGGUCUUUUAAGUCUGAUGUGAAAGCCUUCGGCUUAACCGGAGUAGUGCAUUGGAAACUGGGAGACUUGAGUGCAGAAGAGGAGAGUGGAACUCCAUGUGUAGCGGUGAAAUGCGUAGAUAUAUGGAAGAACACCAGUGGCGAAAGCGGCUCUCUGGUCUGUAACUGACGCUGAGGUUCGAAAGUGUGGGUAGCAAACAGG
rnacentral:rRNA from 1 species